AGAAGUUCAUGCCAAUGAGGGGGGAGUGACACAGACCCGUGGAGGUGUUUCUUGGCUUAUCUUGCCUGCUGGAUUGGACACUUCGAGGACUUUGCAUCGGAUUUAUCAUUUUCAUUGGUGGAAUUUGGGCUCUGCAAAUACAAACGGAAGUUCGUAUGCUUCGUUACGUAAUUCUCUUCAUAGGUGUUAUGAACAGCUUGUUUUCAGUAUAUGGUACGAACUAUCCUUUUUCUUUGUGGAAUUAUAAAAUUCUGCAUUUGGAAUGUGAGAUGGCCCAACAAAUAUGACAUUGCACAG